GACCAGCCUCCCCUGUACCCAGCAGUGUGUCCAUGAAGAGUGACCUGUCUAUUAAUCUUCCUAUAUUCUUUAGAGAGGGAGAAUUUUCUACUGAACAAAGCCCAAUCAAGCAGGAGAGACCAGCCUCCCCUGUACCCAGCUGUGUGUCCAUGAAGAGUGACUGGUCUAUGUAUCUACCUAUAAACUUUAGAAAGGGAGACUUUUCUACUGAACAAAGAAACCAACAGGAGAGAUCAGAGUCAGAGAUUCUCAGUGGUCAGUCU